rnacentral:lncRNA from 1 species
UAGGCUGCCAUCCGAACUUGAGCUGUCUCUCGCUUUUCUUCUAACAAGUCGAGGUUGGCCUUGAGAUCCUGUGAGUUGCGCUGCUCGUCGAAUGCCAUGACUCACGCCGACGGAAGCUUGAGUUCGAUUGGGAUCACGGCUUCUGUUCUAAAGGCUAAGGCAAAGGGGGUCUCCCCUGUGGGCAGUCUUUGUGUAGUUUGGUAUGCCCACAACACA